GUGUCUGGCUUUUGCAUUCUUCGUUUGCCUCUUUAUUUAUUUACUUAUCUGGAGAUUUGCACUUCGGGUGUAAUUCCCACGCGCCCGCCGGCAAAGCGUGCCCCGAGCACCGAGGGGGUUUGCCCUCCCUGCGCCCCGGUGCGCUCUGCUCGCGCCCUCGGUGCGACUCCGGCCCUUGCUGGCUACGGCCGAUGGAUGAGCCGGUCCGCUAUGAACUAUUCGCUCUGUCCCUGAAGCUGCUGAGCACCAGGUCUGCCUCGUUGGUCCCACGCUGGCCGGAGUGUUGCCAGCGGUAAAGCAGGUGUCUAAGCGGGUUUUAGAAGCUGGUGUCACCGUGUCUCCGUGCUGCACGGAGAUGCACCUUCUGCCACUGCCCUGCCAGAGUCUUUUGAGUGUUUCGCCUUUCGUGUACUGUUAUCAAGGGCAUUUGGUUUUCACGUGCAUUUAAUGUAGGUAUGCCUUAGGCCUGUGUUUGAUUGAUCCCAAACGUAUUUUGGAAAGAAUCCACUGUUGUCCUUGUUGACUUCUUGGAUUAUCAAAGUGCUUGAAUUGAACGCUUCCUCAUUUUGGAGAAACUGCGUUUGCUUGAGGCAGAGCAGGGCGCGCUCUUGAAGAGCACAGGGACAGCAUCUGUGACAGCGCGGCUGGUCGGAGGGAGGGAUGCUGAGAGAAGUCAGGCGCAGGCUGUUUUCCCUCUCCGAAAGAGAUGCUGCAGAACGGGAGUUUGAUAGUGCAGAGCAUAUUGCCACCCAUGUGCCAUUUCACAUUGUUCAUGGCAAGAUGACAGGAAAGGAGUUGCUUCCACUGCAAAUAAUUUAUAAAAUACCUAUCCUAUGUACCGGGAGUAGUACUGAGCUUAGACACGACAAUGAGGAAAAAAUAAAACAGGAUGGAUGCACAGAAAUUUGCCCUUUCCAGACACUUUAUCUCUAGCUAAAAGCUCCAGGCUGUUACAAUAUCAUCUUUGUAGAGGUAAUGAAGUUUGGUACAGAAAGCAAGGAAAGCAAAUUCUCCCAGCCCUUGCAAAUGCACAACAGCAGUGGGAGGGUGAUUAUGAAAAUAAUGGUAAAAGGCUAAGCAAUUGCCAAAUUGUUUGACAUUAUAUAAGCAAAGAAAAUUAGGAAUGCAUAGCAAAUAUUAUUAAAUACAAUUCUGAAGUAAUUGUAGCACAGUGAGAGAAAGAUGAAUAAAAGAAAUGUGUAAAAUCUGGAACAUGCAGAAUGUGCAAGGUGCUGGCAGUUUUAUUCUGAUAAGGGAUCUGGCUUGAAGGUGGAUGUCUAGUUCCUUUGCUUUUGCUUUUUUGCUUUUGCUUUUUUGCAUUUCAACCCUGCUCUUAGUCCUCCACGCCUGAACAGACAGAAAUGAAGGAGGGCCUGAAACCGCCACAGUCUCUUCUCUGUCUCUUCACGAUCUCUUCUUCUCCUGUCUUGAAGGGCUUGUCCCCAUUAGGGAUGGUGGCUGUUGGUGGUGGCUGGGUAGCGGCUGCCUGCCUUCCCCACCUCUUUCCUGGGCUGGGUUGUGCUCAUGACCUGGGGUGGGGGAAGAGGCAGGCAUAUCACCCCCACCUCCCUCCUUCAUGUUUCCCAGUCUUUCCUCUCUGCUCUGUAUGUGCAGGCUUGCCUGCCUGCCGGCUGCUGCUUGCUGUACCCAGUAUGUGUGCAUCGCAGUCGUCAGGAGAAAUGCUGUAGGAUCUUGAACUGGUGGGGAUGGGAUCCUGGGCUGUUCCAGUAUCCAAGUCUGCUCUAGUACUAUCACCAAGCAGAGGCUUUUCUCUGCUUGCUGUCCCUUCAGAUCUGGAUGUGAUAACAAACUACAGCCUGGGCAAUGGGUGUUUGACUUGCAGCUCUACAUCUUCCUGCUUUUCUGAAGGAUACAAUCUUACAUUACCCUGGGCUUGAGCAGUAAAGGAUAAAUUUGAUCACUGGCUGCCUUGUCAUCUCUUCAUUGUGAUGGAAAAAUGUUUGUCUAAAAUAAACCCUUUGUUAUGCUGCUAAAACUGCCUUUGAAUCCAAGAUCUGUGGUGAUUUUAAAAACACAAAACCAAAAAUGUCAGAACCUGACCCUUCAUCUGGAUUUGUAGGAAACAUGGAAAAUGGGACAUUUCUGGAGCUGUAUCCUACAUCCC